CGGAGUUUUCACUUAAAGUUCUCACUUAAAGUUCUCACUUAAAGUUCUCACUUGAAGUUUUCAUUUGAAGUUUUCAUUUGAAGUUCUCAUUUGAAGUUCUCAUUUGAAGUUUUCAUUUGAAGUUUUCAUUUGAAUGAAAUUUUACCAAAAAAAAAAAAAAAGAAAAAAAAAAAAAAAAAAAAAAAAAAAAAAAAAAAAAAAAAAAAAAAAGAAAUAAAUAAAUAAAUAAAUAAAUAAAUAAAUGAAGUACAAAAGUUUUAUUUUAUUUUACACUAUAUUGUUUAAAAAACAAUUUUAAUAUUUUACAAAUUUACCUUAUGCAAAUUAUUCAGUUAUUCUGCAAUUUAGUUAUAUAACUAUGUAGUUAUUCACUGACAUAGUUAUUUACUUUUUUAAUUUUAUUUUAUUUUAUUGAUUUUCUUUUUUCCCCUUUUUAUGAAAUAAAACUGUUUUUAAUAAUGGCAAAAUGUAUAUUAAUAUAGCUCGUAUCAUAUAAUAUAUUAAUGUUUUUUUUUUUUUAAAUGAAAGCAGCAUAAAUUACUUUUUUUAAUUUUAGUUUGCUAGUUUGUUAGUUUUGUUCGUUCGUUCAUUCGUUCAUUCGUUCAUUCGUUUGUUUAUUUUAUUAUUUUUUUUUUUGGAAUUAAAGGAUUUAAAAAUGUUACCAUUUAGACCAUUAAGUCAGUUUGUUUUUCAGUUUUUCAUUAUAACCUCUACAGCAUUGGGUAAAGCAUUUAUACAGGCAUAUAAAGAAGUCAUUAAAAAUAAGCAUAACACACAAUUCAUAAAGCAAAAGUACAAUAGUUGUAUGAACAUUGAAGAAGCAAUAAAUAUUUUAAACGUAGAUAGAAAUAAAAUUUAUAAAAAAUUAACAAAAGAAGACUUAAAAUUAUUAAAAGAAGAAAUAACUAAUAGACACCAAGUUCUUAAUCGUUUGAAUGAAAAAAGUGGGCAAUAUAAUGGCUCAGUUUAUAUACAAAAAAAAAGCAAAAGUUGCAAAGGAUAUUUUAUUUCAACAUUUGAAUAUAAAAUGAUAUAUUUUACCAUAUAUCUUAGGUUGUUUAUAUUGUUUAUGUAUUUAAUCUUUUAAUUAAUUACACAACAGUUCAUAUAUACUUUGUCUUACGCUUAUAUUUACCAACUUAAUAAUUAGUCUUAUUAUUAUUAUUGUUAUUAUUAUUAUUGUUAUUAUUAUUAUUGUUAUUAUUAUUAUUAUUAUUAUUUUAUAAUUCAUAUUAUUUUUUUUUUAUUAAUCAUAUAGUAACGCUUUUAAUUAGUUUUAUAUUUAUUUUUUUUAUUAUAUAGUUUUUGUUUUGUAUUAAAAAAAAAAAAAACAUUUGUAUAUAUACGAUGUACACACAUUUUGCUAUCUUAAAAUGUUUUGAAUAACAAAGUUUAUAUUAUUUGCUUUUUUAUCCAUAAUUCAUAUAAGCAUAUGUACGUAUGUAUAUGUACGUAUGUAUAUAUAUUUAUAUGUAUAAACAUAGUCGUGCAAAUUAUUAUUUUAUUAAAAGCAUGUAUAUAUAUAUAUAUAUAUUAUAAAGUAAAAUAUUAGUGUAAAC
ensembl:lncRNA